rnacentral:rRNA from 1 species
GACGAACGCUGGCGGCGUGCUUAACACAUGCAAGUCGAACGCUGAACCCGCUUCGGUGGGGGAUGAGUGGCGAACGGGUGAGUAACACGUGGGCAACCUGCCCCCGGCUCUGGGAUAACUCCAAGAAAUUGGGGCUAAUACCGGAUGUGACCGCUGGCCGCAUGGUCUGGUGGUGGAAAGGGUUUCCGGCUGGGGAUGGGCCCGCGGCCUAUCAGCUUGUUGGUGGGGUAGUGGCCUACCAAGGCGACGACGGGUAGCCGGCCUGAGAGGGUGACCGGCCACACUGGGACUGAGAAACGGCCCAGACUCCUACGGGAGGCAGCAGUGGGGAAUAUUGCGCAAUGGGCGGAAGCCUGACGCAGCGACGCCGCGUGGGGGAUGACGGCCUUCGGGUUGUAAACCUCUUUCAGCAGGGACGAAGCGCAAGUGACGGUACCUGCAGAAGAAGCACCGGCCAACUACGUG